CCGGUGCCAUGGAAACGCGGCCUGUUGUCCCCGGCGCUGCGGGCAGCCUGGCGCAGCACGGGGCUCCGCGUGGCCCGUCCGGCCGCCUUCCAUGGACUCGGCCAGGGCCUACUGCCUCCCGCAAGUCCCCGCCUCGAGCCCCGCCCUUUCCUUCCCCUCUUCCCCGGCGGCGGCGGGCCUAACCCAGGCGCGGGCGCGGGCCGAGGCGCAGCUGCGCUCCGCGGUAGCCUGCGAGCGGGCCAUGCGCUGGAGCGAGGUUGUUGAACAUUAUACAGCACUCUUGAAAACUCUGAGCAAAGAGGAACUUCCUAAAGACUUUGAGCCUGGGCCUUACUAUUCACAACUGCUAUUUGAAACCUAUUAUCAUUUAGCUGUAGCUUUCCAAAGACAGAAUCACCAUAAGGAAGCAGUUCAAGAGCUUAAUAAAGCAAUAGACGUUGCAUCUAUCCCUAAGAUUGCUUGUCAAGUUGGAUGUGUUUCCAGAACUUUCCUUCAUACACCACUAUUUGCGAGAAGAGCGUAUGCAUAUGUAAAAUGUGGUCGUUUGAAAGAAGCAAUAGAUGAUGCUAACAAGGCUGUUGAGUUAGACCCUUUGAACCCUGAUGUAUAUUGUGUUCGAGCUCUUGUUUGGAACACAGUGAAAGAAAAGAAGAGAGCGCUUUUUGAUUUAAACUGUAGCCAGAAGCUAAAGCCUUCUCAUAUUUCCACUUUGAUCAUAAAGGGAAUUAUUAAAAAUUCUCUUAUGGCAACAGAGGGUACAAAGUCUUUAGUGAAGAAUAAAGAUCAUGAAAAGGUAAAUGACAUCUGAUUUAACUUAUCUGUCUCAUAUGGUGUUUAAAAAAGAAGACUGUGGCUGAGACAGGGGACCGAAAUCAGCCGUGGUGUAAGCGGAUGCAGCUCUUUUAUUGCUGUCAAUGCUAAUUCUAAGGCUGAAUUUGGUAGUUUUGGUUACAGAUUUUGCACUUGAUCUGACCUUUCUGUG
rnacentral:lncRNA from 1 species